rnacentral:lncRNA from 1 species
GUGCUGGGCCUGGCUGCACAUUGGCUGCUGGGCUUAAGGGAACAAUGGAGAUAGAAACCAGUGGCAGCACUGGCUGUUUUCUUUUUCUUUAAGUCUUCAUAAAUCAUAUGCAGCAGUGUUGGCAUGAGUCAUAUGGCUCGAUAGCAAAGCUCCUGCUAAGCCACACAGCUGCACGGGACAAAAAUACCUCGGUGAAUAGAGCAUGUUUGUCCUGCAUGGUUUAUGGUAUAAAUAAGAAAUCAGUGAAAUUUAGGGUUUCCCCAGCCUC